GAAAUGCGAUAAGUAAUGUGAAUUGCAGAAUUCAGUGAAUCAUCGAAUCUUUGAACGCACAUUGCGCCCGCCAGUAUUCUGGCGGGCAUGCCUGUUCGAGCGUCAUUUCAACCAUCAAGCCCCCGGGCUUGUGUUGGGGACCUGCGGCUGCCGCAGGCCCCGAAAACCAUUGGCGGGCUCGCUGUCACACCGGGCGUAGUAGAUUUUUCGUCUCGCCCAGGGCGUGCUGCGGGUUCCGGCCGUUAAAAAGCCUCUCUUUUAACCCAAGGUUGACCUCGGAUCAGGUAGGAAGACCCGCUGAACUUAAGC
rnacentral:misc_RNA from 1 species